rnacentral:rRNA from 1 species
CCUACGGGUGGCAGCAGUGAGGAAUAUUGGUCAAUGGGCGGGAGCCUGAACCAGCCAAGCCGCGUGAAGGAAGACGGCCCUAUGGGUUUUAAACUUCUUUUAUAGGGGAAUAAAGUGCCCCACGUGUGGGGGUUUGUAUGUACCUUAUGAAUAAGCAUCGGCUAAUUCCGUGCCAGCAGCCGCGGUAAUACGGAAGAUGCGAGCGUUAUCCGGAUUUAUUGGGUUUAAAGGGAGCGGAGGCGGUUCGAUAAGUCAGCGGUAAAAUUGUGGGGCUCAACCGUAUCGUGCCGUUGAAACUGGGAGACUUGAGUAUGCGAGAGGUACGCGGAAUGCGCGGUGUAGCGGUGAAAUGCAUAGAUAUCGCGAAGAACUCCGAUUGCGAAGGCAGCGUACCGGAGCAAGACUGACGCUGAGGCGCGAAAGCGUGGGGAUCAAACAGGAUUAGAUACCCCUGUAGUC